GCCGGAGUGGCGGAACGGCAGACGCAGGGGACUCAAAAUCCCCCGAGCGCAAGCUCGUGAGGGUUCGAAUCCCUCCUCCGGCACCA
rnacentral:tRNA from 1 species